AGUGAACGCUGGCGGUAGGCCUAACACAUGCAAGUCGAACGGCAGCACAGUAAGAGCUUGCUCUUACGGGUGGCGAGUGGCGGACGGGUGAGGAAUACAUCGGAAUCUACUUUUUCGUGGGGGAUAACGUAGGGAAACUUACGCUAAUACCGCAUACGACCUACGGGUGAAAGCAGGGGAUCUUCGGACCUUGCGCGAUUGAAUGAGCCGAUGUCGGAUUAGCUAGUUGGCGGGGUAAAGGCCCACCAAGGCGACGAUCCGUAGCUGGUCUGAGAGGAUGAUCAGCCACACUGGAACUGAGACACGGUCCAGACACCUACGGGAGGCAGCAGUGGGGAAUAUUGGACAAUGGGCGCAAGCCUGAUCCAGCCAUACCGCGUGGGUGAAGAAGGCCUUCGGGUUGUAAAGCCCUUUUGUUGGGAAAGAAAAGCAGCAGGUUAAUACCCCGCUGUUCUGACGGUACCCAAAGAAUAAGCAUCGGCUAACUUCGUG
rnacentral:rRNA from 1 species